AUCCUGGCUCAGGAUGAACGCUAGCGGCAGGCCUAAUACAUGCAAGUCGGACGGGAUCCAUCGGAGAGCUUGCUCGAAGAUGGUGAGAGUGGCGCACGGGUGCGUAACGCGUGAGCAACCUACCUCUAUCAGGGGGAUAGCCUCUCGAAAGAGAGAUUAACACCGCAUAACAUCAACAGUUCGCAUGUUCGGUUGAUUAAAUAUUUAUAGGAUAGAGAUGGGCUCGCGUGACAUUAGCUAGUUGGUAGGGUAACGGCUUACCAAGGCGACGAUGUCUAGGGGCUCUGAGAGGAGAAUCCCCCACACUGGUACUGAGACACGGACCAGACUCCUACGGGAGGCAGCAGUAAGGAAUAUUGGUCAAUGGGCGGAAGCCUGAACCAGCCAUGCCGCGUGCAGGAUGACUGCCCUAUGGGUUGUAAACUGCUUUUGUCCAGGAAUAAACCUAGAUACGUGUAUCUAGCUGAAUGUACUGGAAGAAUAAGGAUCGGCUAACUCCGUGCCAGCAGCCGCGGUAAUACGGAGGAUCCGAGCGUUAUCCGGAUUUAUUGGGUUUAAAGGGUGCGUAGGCGGCCAAUUAAGUCAGGGGUGAAAUACGGUGGCUCAACCAUCGCAGUGCCUUUGAUACUGAUUGGCUUGAAUCCAUUUGAAGUGGGCGGAAUAAGACAAGUAGCGGUGAAAUGCAUAGAUAUGUCUUAGAACUCCGAUUGCGAAGGCAGCUCACUAAGCUGGUAUUGACGCUGAUGCACGAAAGCGUGGGGAUCGAACAGGAUUAGAUACCCUGGUAGUCCACGCCCUAAACGAUGAUAACUCGAUGUUGGCGAUAGACAGCCAGCGUCCCAGCGAAAGCGUAAGUAUCCACCUG
rnacentral:rRNA from 1 species